CCCUAUAUUUUGUCACAAAGUGUCUUUAUUUACAAAUCAUGAUGUACAAAUAAAACAAAAACAAAACAUUAGGUUACAAUGAAAAACGACAAACAAAGAACACCACCAGGUUUUGUUCAGUAACUUGUUUAGACAGAUAGAUGUGUAACGGACUCUAACCAGCCCGCUACAAUAAUUAUAAAUAAUUAUAAAUAAAAUGUCUCUGGGUGGUCAAAAGUACAUGCAGUGGAGUCGUGGACGUUAAUCUGUCACCACUUUAUUGCACCUGCAACACAGCAGUAAUGGGCGAUUACACACAAGGGUAGCAAUGCUGGUAUCCCUUUCAGACUUCCAGAGCAUGCUGUAACUUCAGCCUACCACCCGCAGCGCAAUGGGCAAGAUGAGCGCUCAAACCAGAACAUUAAGCGGCAUCUUGCAAAGUACUGUAAUGAGGAGCGGAAUGACUGGGACGUCUAUCUGCAACACGCUGUUUAUUCGAUAAACACCUCGAAGCAGCGUUCCACAAAGACACGCCCAAAGAUGUCGGCAUCGCUUCUGAUGUCCAGGAAUUGAGUGUAUUGUGCGACAUCUCGAUGGAAGCUGUAGGUGCUGAAUGUGCAGAUGUUGAUCACACAUUGGAAGUUGUCGUGCCACGUUUCGCGACUUAGACAGUCUGGCAGGCCCAGAGUUCAACUGGCUGACCGAUGAUAUUGUGAAUACGUGCGUUGCAGUGAUUGCUGCAGAUCACAAACAACGUUCCACUGUAAGUAGUUUCUAUUUUCUCUCUAGUCUGACAACUUACCAGUAUCUGUUAUUGUUUUGUAGAAGUUUACUCUGGUUUUUUUUUUGUUUUCACAGGACAAAGCCGUGUUCCACGCCCUUACCACAGACGCAUACACGUUGUGGUGUCGUGACUGGACAGCACAUAGUUGU
ensembl:lncRNA